UCUGUAGGACGAACAGCACUGCAAAGCCUACCAGAGAGCUAGACAUAUCUGGCCCAUCAGGGAAGCAGGAUCUCAGCAAAUCACAGCAACAACACUGUGACACAGUGUUACAAAAUGGCCACCAGCACCUAAAAUGGAGGCUCAAGCCUUUGAACCGGUUUGAACUGGUUUGAACCGAACCUGGCUCUGUGUGGUCUGAGUUUGAACCUUUGAACCAGUUUGAAUUUGAACCUGUUUGCACAUCCCUAGAAUGCACAAUUAAUCUGGAGAAUACAUUAAGCCAGUUUCUGAAGCUGAAGAAAGUGCACUGGGACUAUUCAAGAAUAAGCAUGGGUUAACUAUCUUCUAAGACUGCAAGAACAUUAGGAGACCCCUACUGGUUCAGAUGAGAAAUCCAUCUAGUCCACCAUUCUGUUUACAACUUUGGCCAGCCAAAUGCCUCUGGGAAGCUUUCAGGCAGAACAUGAGUGCAAUGAUCUUCCCUCUUUGACUGUACUCCAGCAAAGUGUUUCACUGCCUCUGGACCUGGAGUUUCCAUUUAAGUAGCCUGACUAGCAGCCACUGACAGACCUAUCACCCACCAAUUUAUCUAGCGGCCAUCUGAAACCAUCCAGAAGCAACUUUGAGGACAUUAUUGGAAAAAUGAAGUAAAUAUUAGAAUAGAAGUAAAAAUAAAUAAUCCUUUGUUCCA